GUAGUAGUAGUAGUAACCCAAACAAACACCACCGGGUUUGUGGGAAUUAACUCGCAGCCGCAAAAUAGAUCGCAUCAUCGCAGAGGUCCACCAAUUCCUUCCCUUUAAUUGUUCCCGUCGUGGCUGUGGUUCGCUCGUCGUGCUGUUCGCCUCCAGUACGCGGCACAAGCACCUGAGCAACACCUUCAAUCACGGGAAGGCUUUACAACUAACGAAUAGGGCGGAUAUGGCGGGAAAGACAGACACGUACAAGUGCUACCAUUGUCCUUUUCAGUCCGAAGACUACGAUUGUAUGCUUCAACACCUUCAGAUGUGCACUGCUGGUGCUGAUGUUGCUGAUGACGAUGAUGAUGUUGCUGAUGAUGAUGGUGUUGCUGGAGUAUCUGCUGAGCAGCGUGGUGUUACCAUGCAGGAGCAGGAAAAAUGUUGGUCACAUGAAGCAAUAUUGCUGUUGAUAGAAACCUGCAAGCUCCACCAGCGAGGAUUCUCAGAUAACUCCAAAAGAAAAUAUCAAGUUUGGCGGGAUAUCGCUAAAGAGCUACAAGCGAAAGGAUAUGCUGUGGAUGGGGCAGCAUGUGACCAGAAAAUGAGGGGAUUGAAAAGAAGGUACAGGAUUAUCAAGGACAAGGCCAGCCAGAGUGGGAGGUUUGCUCUGACCCAGUGGCUAUAUUACGGUGCC